rnacentral:rRNA from 1 species
GAUGAACGCUAGCGGCAGGCCUAACACAUGCAAGUCGAGGGGCAGCACGAUUGAGCUUGCUUAAUUGGUGGCGACCGGCGCACGGGUGCGUAACGCGUAUGCAACCUACCUUAUACUGGGGUAUAGCCCGGAGAAAUUCGGAUUAAUCCCCCAUAGUAAUUAUGAUUCGCAUGUUUUAUAAUUUAAAGGUUACGGUAUAAGAUGGGCAUGCGUCCUAUUAGCUAGAUGGUGAGGUAACGGCUCACCAUGGCGACGAUAGGUAGGGGGCAGGAGAGGGUGGUCCGCCACACUGGUACUGAGACACGGACCAGACUCCUACGGGAGGCAGCAGUGAGGAAUAUUGGUCAAUGGGCGCAAGCCUGAACCAGCCAUGCCGCGUGCAGGAAGACGGUCCUAUGGAUUGUAAACUGCUUUUAUUUGGGAAUAAACUCCGAUACGUGUAUCGGCCUGAAGGUACCAAAUGAAUAAGCACCGGCUAACUCCGUGCCAGCCGCCGCCGUAAAAC